rnacentral:rRNA from 1 species
UACGUAGGGUGCGAGCGUUAAUCGGAAUUACUGGGCGUAACGCGUGCGCAGGCGGUUGUGCAAGGCAGGUGUGAAAUCCCCGGGCUUAACUUGGGAACUGCAUUUGUGACUGCACGGCUAGAGUGUGUCAGAGGGGGGUAGAAUUCCACGUGUAGCAGUGAAAUGCGUAGAUAUGUGGAGGAAUACCGAUGGCGAAGGCAGCCCCCUGGGAUAACACUGACGCUCAUGCACGAAAGCGUGGGGAGCAAACAGG